CUGAAUUUUAACAGCUCCCCAUUGUGUUACUCCCACCAGUCCCGGGUCAUACCGAGUUGUUUUUGGUGAACACAGACUUAACAAUGAUGAUAAUUGAUAAUACAGAACAGACUAUCUACAUCAGUUCUAUUGUAAACGCGGUAGCAGUUUACCAAACACUCUUCAAUACGUUGCUAUGAAUCAAAUCUCAAACAGUGACUGUGCAAGUAGUUGGGACAGUUCUAUCAACAGUGGACAUAUCUGUGUUGAUGAGCCUAACAAAUCAGCCUGUAACGGUGAUAGUGGUGGACCAAUGGUCUGUAAUGGUGUUUUAGCUGGUGUUACAUCAUGGGGCGCAUCAGGUUGUCCUUGUACAUACCCCAGUGUUUAUACCCGUGUAUCUGAAUAUCUCACCUGGAUCGCUUCUAUUUAAGUAUGGUGUUAGCUGAGAAGCCUGUAUUUAAUAUGUAAAUUGGUAUUUAUCGUGUAGUAGUAGCACAACCUACAAUAAAAUGAUUUAAAAUACAGAUGUGACGUCA